UACGUAGGUCCCGAACGUUGCGCGAAUUUACUGGGCGUAAAGGAUCCGUAGGCGGUUUAGCAAGUGGUUGGUGAAAUUUCACGGCUCAACCGUGAAACUGCCUUCCAAACUGCUAAACUUGAGGCAGGGAGAGGUCGGCGGAAUUCCCGGUGUAGCGGCGAAAUGCGUAGAUAUCGGGAGGAACACCAGUGGCGAAGGCGGCCGACUGGAACUGUCCUGACGCUGAGGGACGAAAGCUAGGGGAGCAAACCGGAUUAGAUACCCGGGUAGUCCUAGCCGUAAACGAUGGAUGCUAGAUGUGGGCUACGAAAGUAGUCCGUGCCGUAAGCUAACGCGUUAAGCAUCCCGCCUGGGGAGUACGGCCGCAAGGUUGAAACUCAAAGGAAU
rnacentral:rRNA from 1 species